rnacentral:rRNA from 1 species
AUGGCCAACUUCGCCGCCCAGCUCAAGGAUAGGUUUUUCGGCCUCGUCGACCGCGUCGCCGGCUGCGGCCGCCCCGGGGUCAAGGAGGAGGCCCCCAAGUCGGCGCCGGCGCCGGCCGUGCAGGAGCACGUCGAGAUUCGACCGAGAGGCCCAACUCGCCCGCUGACGCUCCCGCGGCCCCAGCCGGGGAGCCCUCCGCUGCGUAAGCACCGGAGCCUAGCACCUCCGACUGAGACAGUCGGUGAGCUCGGCCGGCGGACAGAGAUGAGAUGGGUCUAG